CGAUGAAUGCCCAGUCUUGCUGGGUGGAUUAGUGGCGAACGGGUGAGUAACACGUGAGUAACCUGCCCCUGACUCUGGGAUAAGCGUUGGAAACGACGUCUAAUACUGGAUAUGAUCACUGGCCGCAUGGUCUGGUGGUGGAAAGAUUUUUUGNUUGGGGAUGGACUCNCGGCCUAUCAGCUUGUUGGUGAGGUAAUGGCUCACCAAGGCGACGACGGGUAGCCGGCCUGAGAGGGUGACCGGCCACACUGGGACUGAGACACGGCCCAGACUCCUACNGGAGGCAGCAGUGGGGAAUAUUGCACAAUGGGCGAAAGCCUGAUGCANCAACGCCGCGUGAGGGAUGACGGCCUUCGGGUUGUAAACCUCUUUUAGUAGGGAAGAANCGAAAGUGACGGUACCUGCANAAAAAGCACCGGCUAACUACNUGCCANCAGCCNCGGUAAUACGUAGGGUGCAAGCKUUGUCCGGAAUUAUUKGGCKWAAAGAGCUCGUAGGCGGKUUGUCGCGUCUGCUNGUGAAAUCCCGAGGCUCAACCUCGGGCUUGCAGUGGGUACGGNCAGACUAGAGUGCGGUAGGGGAGAUUGGAAUUCCUGGUGUAGCGGUGGAAUGCGCAGAUAUCAGGAGGAACACCGNAUGGCGAAGGCAGAUCUCUGGGCCGUNAACUGACGCUGAGGAGCGAAAGCAUGGGGAGCGAACAGGAUUAGAUACCCUGGUAGUCCAUGCCGUAAACGUUGGGCGCUAGAUGUAGGGACCUUUCCACGGUUUUCUGUGUCGUAGCUAAACGCAUUAAGCGCCCCGCCUGGGGAGUACGGCCGCAAGGCUNAAAACUCAAAGGAAUUUGACGGGGGCCCCGCACAAGCGGCGGAAGCAUGCGGAUUAAUUCNGAUNGCAMCGCGAAGAACCUUACCAAGGCUUNGACAUACACCGGAAANCGGCCAGARAUGGUCGCCCCCUUGUGGKCGGUGUACAGGKGGUGCAUGUUGUCGUCAGCUCGUGUCSUGARAUGUUGGGUUAAGUCCCGCAACGAGCGCAACCCUCGUUCUAUGUUGCCAGCGGGUUAUGCCGGGGACUCAUAGGAGACUGCCGGGGUCAACUCGGAGGAAGGUGGGGAUGACGUCAAAUCAUCAUGCCCCUUAUGUCUUGGGCUUCACGCAUGCUACAAUGGCCGGUACAAAGGGCUGCGAUACCGUAAGGUGGAGCGAAUCCCAAAAAGCCGGUCUCAGUUCGGAUUGAGGUCUGCAACUCGACCUCAUGAAGUCGGAGUCGCUAGUAAUCGCAGAUCAGCAACGCUGCGGUGAAUACGUUCCCGGGCCUUGUACACACCGCCCGUCAAGUCAUGAAAGUCGGUAACACCCGAAGCCGGU
rnacentral:rRNA from 1 species